rnacentral:rRNA from 1 species
UCGAGAAUUUUUCUCAAUGGGCGCAAGCCUGAAGGAGCGACGCCGCGUGGGGGAUGAAGGGUUUCGAUCCGUAAACCCCUGUCAUUUGCGAACAAAGGUUACUGUUUAAGAGAUGGUAAUUUGAUAGUAGCGGAAGAGGAAGGGACGGCUAACUCUGUGCCAGCAGCCGCGGUAAUACAGAGGUCCCGAGCGUUGUUCGGAUUCACUGGGCGUAAAGGGUGCGUAGGUGGCCAUGAAAGUUUGAUGUGAAAUCUCCGGGCUUAACCCGGAAAAUGCAUUGAAUACUCUGUGGCUGGAGGUUUGGGGGGGGGACUGGAAUGCUCGGUGUAGCAGUGAAAUGCGUAGAUAUCGAGUGGAACACCAGUGGCGAAGGCGGGUCCCUGGACAACACCUGACACUGAGGCACGAAAGCUAGGGGAGCAAACAGG